GAGCAGGGUUGUAUCAGAGUCACCUCUUUCAUCUGCAAAGGGUGCUUUGUGCGGUCGUGGACAGGAAAGGGAAAUCCUCGUGUCGCGGAGCAGUGAGGGAAGUAGAGCGUAAACCUUUGGAGGAACCUGUCACAGGAAAGAGCUCCUUCUGGAACUGUUCAGCACUCGCUGAAACACAGUGUACGACACGGGACUUGACGACCAGAGCUGCUUUUGGCAAGGUGAGUGAUGAACAGCUAUAGAAGGUACUUUAGGGGUGCAGUUGUCACUGCAGUUACUGAACUACACCAAGUACGGU